rnacentral:rRNA from 1 species
GAUGAACGCUGGCGGCGUGCUUAACACAUGCAAGUCGAGCGAAGCACUUAAGAAUGAUUCUUCGGAUGAAUUCUUUUGUGACUGAGCGGCGGACGGGUGAGUAACGUGUGGGUAACCUGCCUCAUACAGGGGGGUCACAGUUAGAAAUGGCUGCUAAUACCGCAUAAGACCACAGUACUGCAUGGUACAGUGGUCAAAACUCCGGUGGUAUGAGAUGGACCCGAGUCUGAUUAUGAAGAUGGUGAGGUAACGGCCCACCAAGCCGACGAUCAGUAGCCGACCUGAGAGGGUGGCCGGCCACAUUGUGACUGAGACACGGCCCAGACUCCUACGGGAGGCAGCAGUGGGGAAUAUUGCACAAUGGGCGAAAGCCUGAUGCAGCGACGCCGCGUGAAGGAUGAAGUAUUUCGGUAUGUAAACUUCUAUCAGCAGGGAAGAAAAUGCCGGUACCUGACUAAGAAGCCCCGGCUAACUACGUGCCAGCAGCCGCAGUAACAC